ACUCUCUGGUCUGUAACUGACGCUGAGGCGCGAAAGCUGUGGGGAGCUGAACAGGAUUAGAUACCCUGGUAGUCCACGCCGUAAACGAUGAGUGCUAAGUGUUAGAGGGUUUCCGCCCUUUAGUGCUGCAGCAAACGCAUUAAGCACUCCGCCUGGGGAGUACGGUCGCAAGACUGAAACUCAAAGGAAUUGACGGGGGCCCGCACAAGCGGUGGAGCAUGUGGUUUAAUUCGAAGCAACGCGAAGAACCUUACCAGGUCUUGACAUCCUCUGACAACCCUAGAGAUAGGGCUUCCCCUUCGGGGGCAGAGUGACAGGUGGUGCAUGGUUGUCGUCAGCUCGUGUCGUGAGAUGUUGGGUUAAGUCCCGCAACGAGCGCAACCCUUGAUCUUAGUUGCCAGCAUUCAGUUGGGCACUCUAAGGUGACUGCCGGUGACAAACCGGAGGAAGGUGGGGAUGACGUCAAAUCAUCAUGCCCCUUAUGACCUGGGCUACACACGUGCUACAAUGGGCAGAACAAAGGGCAGCGAAGCCGCGAGGCUAAGCCAAUCCCACAAAUCUGUUCUCAGUUCGGAUCGCAGUCUGCAACUCGACUGCGUGAAGCUGGAAUCGCUAGUAAUCGCGGAUCAGCAUGCCGCGAUGAAUACGUUCCCGGGCCUUGUACACACCGCCCGUCACACCC
rnacentral:rRNA from 1 species